rnacentral:lncRNA from 1 species
UUGGAAUGGCCUGAGAAUCGUUUCCUACAAUACGUACUGAAUUUUUUGUGAGAAAAAAAAAUCAGUAUGAAAUUACAAAUUUGCCUGUCAUUUAACGUGAAAUUAAAUACUCGUUCUUCCAGUUUAUGCUACACGCUCGGUUUUUUCAGUUAUUUUGCCAAGGAAUUUCUGCAAUCGUUCAUUAUACUUGUACAAGAACAACUGUUGUAUCCUCCUUUGUGUGCAUCAAAAUUCCUGACAUCUUUCCAGGUUGCCGCUCUUAUUGCAGGCUCUUCCUUGCUU